rnacentral:misc_RNA from 1 species
CCGAGUUUACAACUCCCAAACCCCUGUGAACAUACCUUUAUGUUGCCUCGGCGGAUCAGCCCGCGCCCGUAAAACGGGACGGCCCGCCGCAGGAAACCCUAAACUCUGUUUUUAGUGGAACUUCUGAGUAUAAAAAACAAAUAAAUCA